AUUAAAGAUAGAAUAGUUGAAGGGGUACGAACCUUUGUGGCAUAUCUAGCCGCCGGCCAUCUUGAUUUUUUCCGAGCACGA